rnacentral:tRNA from 2 species
UGGGAUGUAGCUCAGUGGUAGAGUGCUUGCCUUGCACGUGUGAAGCCCUGGGUUCAAUUCCCAGUUUCAA